rnacentral:rRNA from 2 species
GCGGUGGUCCCACCUGACCCCAUGCCGAACUCAGAAGUGAAACGCCGUAGCGCCGAUGGUAGUGUGGGGUCUCCCCAUGCGAGAGUAGGGA